CAGUCGCCACGGUAAUACGUAGGGUGCAAGCGUCAAUCGGAAUUACUGGGCGUAAAGCGUGCGCAGGCGGUUCGCUAAGACAGAUGUGAAAUCCCCGGGCUUAACCUGGGAACUGCAUUUGUGACUGGCGGGCUAGAGUAUGGCAGAGGGGGGUAGAAUUCCACGUGUAGCAGUGAAAUGCGUAGAGAUGUGGAGGAAUACCGAUAGCGAAGGCAGCCCCCUGGGCCAAUACUGACGCUCAUGCACGAAAGCGUGGGGAGCAAACAGGAUUAGAUACCCCUGUAGUCCCUGUCUCUUAUAC
rnacentral:rRNA from 1 species